AGCGAACGCUGGCGGCAGGCCUAACACAUGCAAGUCGAACGGACCCUUCGGGGUUAGUGGCGGACGGGUGAGUAACACGUGGGAACGUGCCUUUUGGUUCGGAAUAGCUCCUGGAAACGGGUGGUAAUGCCGAAUGUGCCCUUUGGGGGAAAGAUUUAUCGCCAUUAGAGCGGCCCGUGUCUGAUUAGCUAGUUGGUGAGGUAAAGGCUCACCAAGGCGACGAUCAGUAGCUGGUCUGAGAGGAUGACCAGCCACAUUGGGACUGAGACACGGCCCAAACUCCUACGGGAGGCAGCAGUGGGGAAUCUUGCGCAAUGGGCGAAAGCCUGACGCAGCCAUGCCGCGUGAAUGAUGAAGGUCUUAGGAUUGUAAAAUUCUUUCACCGGGGACGAUAAUGACGGUACCCGGAGAAGAAGCCCCGGCUAACUUCGUGCCAGCCGCCGCAGUAAAAC
rnacentral:rRNA from 1 species